CCUACGGGAGGCUGCAGUGAGGAAUAUUGGUCAAUGGACGAGAGUCUGAACCAGCCAAGUAGCGUGAAGGAUGACUGCCCUAUGGGUUGUAAACUUCUUUUAUAUGGGAGUAAAAUGUUCCACGUGUGGGAUUUGGUGUGUACCCUAUGAAUAAGGAUCGGCUAACUCCGUGCCAGCAGCCGCGGUAAUACGGAGGAUCCGAGCGUUAUCCGGAUUUAUUGGGUUUAAAGGGAGCGUAGGUUGAUCGUUAAGUCAGUUGUGAAAGUUUGGGGAUCAAACGUAAAAGUGCAGUUGAAACUGGCAGCCUUGAGUAGAGGAGAGGUAGGCGGAAUGCGUGGUGUAGCGGUGAAAUGCUUAGAUAUCACGAAGAACUCCGAUUGCGAAGGCAGUUCACUGGACUGCAACUGACACUGAGGCACGAAAGUGUGGGUAUCGAACAGGAUUAGAUACCCGGGUAGUC
rnacentral:rRNA from 1 species